GAUUGUUCAAGGUCGUCCUAGUUUUCCUGUUACCCUUCGGAAGAUCAACCUUGGCGUCAAGGCGUUUCCUCCAUCCGCCAUUGCCACAUUACUGACCGUCGAGUGCACGGCAACAGAAUUUGCCUCCGCUGUUGGGUACACACAAAAUCCGUCUGAGUACCUCGUCGGAAAUACCAUUCUCCUACAGUUCUUCUGUACACUUCACGGCGACAUGACUCUCCUUGUUUUGAUACCCGUUUUGGAGACUAGUGUAGCCUCUGUGUAUGGAACCGUAAUGACCGGUACCCGGUUUCUCCUCAGCCUGUGAUCUCCAGUAGAGGGACGGCGGCAUAUACGGCGAUGGGAGAAAAAGAACAAGAACUGCAGUGGUGCCUUUCUCUCUCUGCAAAUGGGCUACAGUUUUAGAACUUGGUCUGGCUGUAUCGUUUCAAGGUAUCCCCACGCGCGUGUUCUGCCGCGAAGAGCGGCAGCGCGCGAGAGGGAGAGGAAAAGGACGAAGCAUGAAGCCGUCUUCUCGACAUAGGGGGUUUUCCGUCAGCCAAUCAGGGUGCCAGUUCGUGCUGAUUGGCAAAGUUAUGCUGAUUUCUCCCUCCAAGUCCUCAUAACGCGCGAGAUCAGGAUUCCGGAAUUUUUUUUGUCGUUAACUUUCGAACAGGCAACCCUCGC
rnacentral:lncRNA from 1 species